rnacentral:lncRNA from 1 species
ACAAGUUGUGUCAAUAAUCCCAAACUUGUGUAAUCUGUCACGAGUUGCCAACCUCCCAUUACAAGCAAUCCAGAGGUUGACAAGAGCUCUAGGACGGGCCACGUUUCCAUAGAACAAAGUUCUCCACGGAACACUUUGAGAUCUAUCAUAAUUAGCCAAGUACAUCUUUCUCAUAUUAAAUUUCUGGGCAUUCAACAUCUCUGUCCACACCGGAUUUUGAAGGGUAUACUCGCGUUGCUUCAUAACAGCCUUCAUUAUCCAGGAGGCAUUAUCUGGUAUAGAAG